GGGUACCCUAUGGAUGAUGAUCGAGAAUCAGUUCUAAAUUCGAAUCAAGUGUAACUUUUGCCUGUAUUUUUACUGAAACCAUGAUAAUAUUCUCAGUGUAUGAUCCUACAAAUAAACCAUUGCAUUUCUCAUUCUUAGCAACAUUUGUAGAUCCUUAGCAACUCUUGCACUGUUACUGCAUCAUCAUGCAAGGUACUGUUUUGUAUUGGAUUUUGUUUCUCAUGCUUGCUAAAAAUUUCAUUCAUGUAUUUGUUUUCCUUUUCA